UACGUAGGGUGCGAGCGUUGUCCGGAAUUAUUGGGCGUAAAGAGCUUGUAGGCGGUCUGUCGCGUCGGCUGUGAAAUCCCGAGGCUCAACCUCGGGUCUGCAGUCGAUACGGGCAAACUAGAGUAUUGCAGGGGAGACUGGAAUUCCUGGCGUAGCGGUGAAAUGCGCAGAUAUCAGGAGGAACACCGGUGGCGAAGGCGGGUCUCUGGGCAAUAACUGACGCUGAGGAGCGAAAGCGUGGGGAGCAAACGGG
rnacentral:rRNA from 1 species